GACGCUCCCGUCUCUGGUCAUUUUAUUAUCCAGUUCAAUCCUUCAUAAAAAUGGAUUUCUUCUUCCUUUUGUAGGGGAAAAAUGAGUACCUAUAAAAAUGAUUUUGAUGAAACAAUGAUCCAACCGCGGAAGAAUGCUUUAGUUCUCUAUCAAUCAGAUGGACCAAUCAUUUUCUCAGGCACCACAUAUUUAUCGAAAUCUUCCUCGCUUAGAACUCCAAGCUUCAGUGCAGCUUCCUUCAAAGUGGACCCUUCCUUGUGGGCUGUCUUUGCAACUGCAGCAGCAUUGUCGUAACCAAUUUUCGGAUUUAAAGCUGUGAC
rnacentral:misc_RNA from 1 species